GCGGGCGUGGUGAAAUUGGCAGACACGCAGGAUUUAGGUUCCUGUGGGGCAACCCGUGGGGGUUCAAGUCCCUCCGCCCGCACCA
rnacentral:tRNA from 4 species